AGGCCAGGGGGGUAACCGCAGAUCCCACGCGGCGGUUCCUGGCCUCGCGACGGCCGCGCGACCCGCGCGGCCGCCUGGUUGUCGCUCGGGGGUGACCGUCC
rnacentral:sRNA from 16 species